CGCACACGCACCUACGUGCACAUUCUGACAUGUUUAGGACGCUGGAAAGUUCACACCUGUCCGUUAGCUUUUCUGUGCCACAAGUCUCCAGAGAAAUCAGAAAAGUUGUUUUAUGCCACUUCAGAUUUAUUUGCGAGUUGCCUCACCCCCCCAGUUGUCAUUUUUUAGAAUGUUGACAUUAACUGUUGAAUGAUUAAUUAACUUUUCUUCUUCUUCUUUUAUAUAGUCCUGUGUUAAUAAUGAUGUUUAGUACUGUGGCUAAUGACCAAUAAAAUGUCACCUGAGUUGUAAUUAAGUAUCUUUUAAGAAACGAGAGUAACACUUAAAUAAGAAACUAAAACGAGGUCAUGUAAAUUAUUAUUAAUCAUUGCUUUGAGUCAAAGUAGUAGAUGACCAGAAAGGAGUCAAGUACAAAUAUUAACAGAACAUUCGUCAUAUACUAAUGUAGUUCAAAGCACAAAAUUAACAUUUGAAGGCAUACGGUUGUGCCUCUAUGCCAUAUAUUUUUAAUACAGCGGCGAUAAGUUUUUCCUGAAUUGAUUAAACAUUCAUCAUUAUAACAGUGCAAUCACUGAAACUUCAUAAUGACAGUGUUUUUGUGAUCCAUGACUCUUGCUGUCAAGUCAGGCCACUUUCUCGCUCUAGUGCUAGACGUGUCUUUGAAUUAGGUGUUCUCUAAACCAAGAGGUCUCAUAUCUGCAGCUAUGAACUCCCCAGUCACUGCAACCUUUGGCCUGGAUCGAAUCAAACAGUGAAGGAGUGUUUGCAUACAGCUUUAUGUUUUCAUCUUGUUGACCAGCACACAGGGGUGAUGUCAGGCAUGUCUGCAGUAUUAGGUGGAUUCUGCACACUGUAGCAGUGUAACUUACCGGAAAACUAAAGUGCUUCCAUACAUCAGGUCUGACGUAUGGAAGGACCUGAGGGGAUUUUACAUAACCAUUUCUGCUUUUCCCGUGCUAGUAUUCUCUCAUAACGGCUCGUGAAACACAAUAUCCUUAGGAGAAGUGUGGUUGUUGUUUUGUUUUGUAUUUUAAACCCCUGUUGAAAGAGGAAGCUGCAUUUUCAGAGGGAGUGUGGGCUUGAUUUAAGUUUAAAUGUUUAUAACAGCUCUCCUAAUAUAAGUGGCAUUUUAUGAUGAAUAGUCCACUUUAUUAUACAGUCUGUUGGAUGUGUUAUUUGAUAUGAAAACGUAUCGGAUCAAGAGCCCGUCGUAUCAAGAUACAUUACACCGUAUGGUUAUACACUCCUAUAAUCUAGUUAGCUAAUGUGGAAAAUAUAUUUUACGUGUAUUUUGAUAAUAUACAGUAUUACAAUAUACAGAUAAUAUAUAUGUUUACACCAGGCUUCAUUUCUAACUAAUUUACACUUCAUCUUAAAUUGUAACGUUUCGGAAAAACAUAAGUAAUUUGUCUCUGAUAAUUCCUUUAGAGAGAGGAACUUGGCAGGAACUUUCAAAGCUACAGGAUGUAUGAAUUGAGUCAUUGUAUUUCACCUCUAUGUAUUUUCAUUGCAAAAGCACCAGGUUUUUUUUGUUCCUUUUAAUUUUUUUUUUAAUUAUUUAUUUAUUUAUUAUUAUUUUUUUUUUUUUACUUUGUUUAACUACAAUGGCCAUCUCUGUGUCAUGGCACACAACAAAUUUUGGUUAUACAGCUGUUUUUGGAAACCUCAAUAUCUCGGCUCAGGAUGGGUCUAGCUCCUUGGAACAAAGACUGUUCUCUAGAGCACAUUUGUACUGCCUGCUGCAGUAAAACUUGUUGCUCAUUAUUAAGGCUGCACAAUUAAUCGAAUAUCGAUCGAUUUUGAUUGCCAACGUUUAAAUGAACAUGAUCGACUGCGAUAUUAAUGUUUAUAGUUCGUCCUCCGCUAAAACUCCGCUGCAUAUCAAAUCAAGCGCUUCUUACACUUACUGCCAAUCACCAUAGAGCAGCGCAGGGAUGACGUCAUUUUGUAAUGCCAAAACGGAGUUAGCAUUUUAGCGCUGGAGCUGCCAGCUUCACUUCGAGCGCCAGCGCUUUGCACGAGAAGAAAUCAUGAAAUUAACAUGAUACCAAAUGGCACUACAGAGGUUGUCGGGGACAUUAAACAUCACGCCGAACGGGAAAAAAAAUUGCAGAUAAACUCAGGGCUCUACAAUGCGACCAUUUCACUCGCAUUUGUGACUGAAAAGUAUUUUAUGCAACUGUGCAUAAAUAUUUGUUCGCACCGGUGUGAGUGACCUGUUCGGAGUUGUAGAAUACAAUCGGAAUAAAAACUACAGGAAGUCCAAAAUACAUCUACACCGCGCAACAGUUACUUUCACACUGUUUUUCAUCUCCUCAGUCAACCGAACAAGUGUGGAAAUACUGCAGAGCAGCCAUUAUGAUGACAAGUAACUGUACAUCAUCUGCUUCUCUCAACUUCCCAAUCUCACAAACCGCCAUCUUUUAUUGAUCUCGCAAAAUGACCUGAACUUUCACCUGCUCGUAUAGACACAGCGGCUUCGUGUGGAGUAAAUUAAUAAUAAUGCUAACGCUACAAGGUGGGUUUAAUUCAAACUUCUUUAUUAAAACACCCCUCACCAAUCAUAAUCAAGAGUAGCAACUGUUCGGUCUGUAAACACACAGUACACUGCAGCUCUCCUUCACUAACUCUAAUACACUCCAUUUAAACUCACGGUUGCCAGAUAUCACUAGAAAAGUCAACCCAGUUUCCAUGUUUUGAUUUAAUUACCCCCAAAAUAUUAUCAGCAGACACUGUACUGGGGAAACCCAUCUAAAACUGAUAAACAAACAAAAAUAAAACUACUAAAAUGUAAAGACAGAAAAUGUGCUUAGUUAUAAAUAAAUCAAUCAUUUAAUAUAAAAAUACAUAUUAUUAUAACUUCAUAAAAUAUAAAUAAAAUGAGAAAUGAAAUGAUGUUUAAUUAAUGUGUUGCAUUUAAUAUCAAUUUGACAUUAAGCUUAAUAAGCUAUUUCCUUAGAAAGCUAUUAGCCCUAAUAUGGAUCAUUUUUGUGUUCGUCUACUUUUAAAUAGGACUCUCUAUUGUUUUUAAGAUAUUUAAAAAUAAAUAUAUUAUGCUUGUUUAUUUAUCAGUUAUCCAACAGUAUCUCAUUGCUAUUAUUUUAACUCAAUUAACAGUGACCAUGAGCAGAGAGCUUACAUUUAACUGUUUAUGAUGGACUUCCUGAUUAAAGUUUAAACAAAAAAAAGAUUGGUAUCUGGAUCGGUAUCUGCUGUAAAAAUCCUGAUCCGAGCAGCAGUAAUGAAGACCCAUUCAAACUAAAGCGCUUCACAUCUGACGGGUAAAUGAACUCACCCAAUCACAUCCUAUAUGAGAUUAUUCCGAUAUAUAUACACAAUAUACACAGAGCGGUUCGAGAACUGACUCCAGCCCAAAACCAUGACAGUGGAAAAUGUCUAAUAGUGUAGCUUUAACUAUAUUUAAGAGGAGCAGACUUCAAAGACUGAACAUUGAUGUUUAUUGUAUUUUGUUUAUAAGGUGGAACAGGUUAACAGUUGUUUUUUUGCAUACAGUCUGUAAAAUUAACCGAAAAUAUUACAUUUAGUUUAUCAGAAGGUAAAUUAAUUUGUCAUGGCUCACACUGUGUUCCUAAAUUCUGUCAUAAUUGACCAACUCAAGUUUUCUCAAGCCUACUUGUGUGUUAUAUUGUGGCAUGAGAGAACUUAAUAAAUGUGAAAGUGCAAUAAAAAUAUGUUGUCACAAAUCAAUUAAUAAUCAUGAUAAAUAAUCGGGAUUAUCAUUUUGGCCAUAAUCGUACAGCCCUACUCAUUAUGCAGAAUUUAUGAAUGGGCCUUCCGAGGUGCCGCUCAUCUCCAGGGCUAUUACAUGCAUUUAGACUGCUAACUGUAGUUGACUUGCUGAAAUAUAAGCUUCCCUGAUUGGCUGAGGUUCUCAUCUGUACUUUUGUGCCUGAAUUGAAGUGAUGGCGUUUGAAAUAUCUGAGUUGGAGAAUGACCCAUGUACAUACAAAUUUCCCAGCAGUGCCAACCUGAGACCCCUGCCACAUUACUUACUGGGAAAUACUGUACAGGACUGUACAGCAGCUCAGGGACAUCACACUAUAGAAUAUAUUUUGUCUCAUAAUUUCUCAUCUUUAAAAAUCUACUCACAUCUUUUGUCUCAUCUUUAAAAACUCGAUCUUUAUUAUUUGCUGGGCAACAUCUAAUAUGAUUCUGUGAAAAGAGUAGUACGUAAGUCUGGAUUUUGGUGGUGGAAGUUCAUUUUGCUUGGAAUUGUAGGAGGUUUAUCUGUACGCCUGUGCAAUAAUCUUGCGUAUGAUUUGCCUAGUCUAAAGGCAAUUUCCUUUGGAUGUAUUUUCCCCCCACUUGCAUCAUCUACAUUCGUCUCCCUAUUUAAAUACAUGGUCUCCUCACAUAUGUAUUGCCCUGCAGGCCAAUCAAAUUCUAAAUACAGGACUUUUUUUUUAUUUUUUUUUAUGAAUAUUUUUAGAGGGAACUCUAUUUUGAGGCACAAGUGCAAGCCCCAACGUUAUUAUUGUUCAAAAUCAAUAAAUACAACAAUGUAAACCUCA